rnacentral:misc_RNA from 1 species
AUGAAUGGCCAUUUAUGGCCUUCGACCCUUCAAAACUGUGGAGGCACAGCGUGCUUCGGCGCUCCGGCGCCGCCUUUAUGCCAUAGAGCCCAUGUCUGAACCAAAAAUAUAAUCUA